rnacentral:rRNA from 1 species
UACGUAGGGGGCUAGCGUUGUCCGGAUUUAUUGGGCGUAAAGAGCGUGUAGGCGGCCAGGUAGGUCUGCUGUGAAAACUCGAGGCUCAACCUCGAGACGUCGGCGGAAACCAUCUGGCUAGAGUCCGGAAGAGGAGAGUGGAAUUCCUGGUGUAGCGGUGAAAUGCGCAGAUAUCAGGAAGAACAUCCGUGGCGAAGGCGGCUCUCUGGGACGGUACUGACGCUGAGACGCGAAAGCGUGGGGAGCGAACAGG